rnacentral:rRNA from 1 species
CCGACGAGUUAUUUAGUGAGAUCUUUGGAGGUGAGCUCUACGGUGACUUGUUUACUGUGGUUGUAUUACCAAAGUUGAUCAAACUUGAUGAUUUGGAGGAACUAAAAGUCGUAACAAGGUUUCCGUAGGUGAACCUGCGGAAGGAUCAUUA